ensembl:lncRNA
GUUUACAAACAAAAAAAAAACAAACAAAAAAAACAAACAAAAAAAAAACAAAGGCACUGGUCGUCUUCAACCCCAUGAUUUUUAUUUAUUUUUUUUUACAAAAAUUAAUUUGAACAUUUGUAUGGGUUUAGUACAAUAGUACAAAUUUUAAAAUUGCACGAUUACAAAUUCCUGAGUUAUUCAAAUUUAAAGAUCUAAUAAGUGAAAUAUAUUUAGGGGUGUUUAUAUAUAUAUAUAUAUAUAUAUAUAUAUAUAUAUAUAUAUAUAUAUAUAUAUAUAUAUAUAUAAAUAUAUAUAUGUAUGUAUGUGUGUGUGUAUAAAUAUCUAUAUUAUACAGUUUGACUGAGCUACACAUGGUUGACAAUCCUGUGAGAUGAACAUUGUCCAAAUGUCACUAAAACUACUCUAUUAGAUGUCCUGGAGCUGUGUGCGGAAGCAGCAUCAUUUGCCUUCCUUCUCUGACCAUUCCUUGUAACCUCCUGCAUAGUUCUGUGCACUGGAGAGAGAGAGAGAGGGGGGGGGGGGGGGGGCACGCACACACACACGCGCGCGCACACACACACACACACACACACACACACACACACACAGUGACUAUAUAAGUCAGGAAAUUAUCAGUGAAAACAAGGUUUUCCAGUAUGACCCAUGUUUCUAUAAACACUGACAGUAUUACAGUCCCUCCAGAAUUUUGCGAUCGCAGAAAUCAAGGAAACUGCAAUAUUAGCAGGAGCUUAUAAAUUUCACCAAUUCAGUUUUCUGCAAAAAAGCACAAAGAAACUUCAAAAAACACUCAGCAAAAUCAAGCAUUUUUGGCCGCAACAAUCACAAAAAACAAAAUCACAAAAUCCUGUAUGGACUGUCCUUAGCUGCUAACACAAUAACACAUUUAAUCCUGAUCAUACUUGAUGAAGCCGAGGCUUCUGGCUUUCUCUGUAGCAGUGUCUCCACGCCGUCCCAUUUGGCAGUGGAACACCAGUUCAUGGCUAUCCAGAAGGGGCUUGGGGACACCGAAUUUCUCUUGAAAAGCAUGUUCAUCCAAAGAGAAUUCCUUUUCCACAUUUUCCACUACAAGACACAGUAAGGACAUGGUAUACAGUAAUCAUGGGUUAAUAAUAGUAUCUUAUUAAAAGACAAGUCCACCAUGAAACACAUUAAACAUGUUUACACUGAAAUAUUUAUGAUAUGCUUAGCUAUUCUUGUACUAACGUUUUUUGGUUGAUGCUGUAUUUUGAUUCAUUUCUGUGAGAAGUUAGUGGUUGUCUGUCACACUGACAUCACAGGGGGAUGUUGUGGGGAUGUUUAAUAAAAAGAGCAAAAAAAGAACAAGAGCUUCUUUUCUCAUUCAGAAUUUUCCAGUGACGUUCAGUGCCGUAUUAAUGGAAAUAUAACAGAUGUAGGGGGAAGGUAAGAAGGUAAGAAGUAAUAGGAAGGGAACAGUUACAGAGACUCGGCUUGGCUAGUUAGUAGUUGAGAUGAAAAUUAAUGACAGUUGACGUUUCAGAGCCUGAUCAUUUUUUUCUCCCCCAAGCCAUCAGAUUCCUCAAUACCCAGAGACUGGAUCAACACCAACUCACACACACACACACGCACAGACACACAGACACACAGACACACAGACACACACACACACACACACACACACACACACACACACUCAGCUGAACACCAUUCCACUACUUCUGCAUUUUUUGCACAUUUCUUUCUUAAAGUCCCCGUAAAGUGCCUUGAAACAAACAGCAUUAUUCGAUAUGUUGACGUAAUUUUCACUGAAACAGGAAGCCAGGGUCGGCCAUAUCGAGUGGGCCCUCCCCCCUUUUAAAUAACCAGUAAUAUUUAGCUUACCUCACAGCCAGGGCUAAACCAUACUUGACAGUUAGUACCAUGGAUUUUUAUAAUGUUGGGGGCGGGACACUUCAGAUUUUAGAGAGCAUUUGAUUGGACAGAAAAUCUGUUGAGAAACUGAAGUGCAUAAUGAUGUCAUCAGGAGUGUUGAUCCGUAUUGGUGGCAUACAGAGACUGCGAAUUUUGUUAUUGUUCUGGAGCACACCAGCUUAUAGAUAUCCUUAAGGCUAACAUAUUCAUACUAAAAGCCACGAAACUUACAUUUUGAGUUCAUGUUAUUGAACACUUGCGUUCUUGCGGCUAGUUACUAUGUUAUGUUUAUGCACCGUCCUUUACUGUGCCUCGUGUCCUUGUUUAGUAAUCGCUGUACUGUCUUGUCUUUAUGUAGUCCUGUGCAUGUCUUUGUAGUCUUAUUUAGCUAUGUAUUGUUUUAUGUAGCACCAUGGUCCUGGAGGAACGUUGUUUAGUUUCACUGUGUACUUUACCAAUUGUAUAUGGUUGAAAUGACAAUAAAGCCACUUGAACAAUGAAAACAGGUCAACAUGUAUGUGAAAGAAGAAUUACAAAAUAGUCGAUUAAGAAAACCAUUCCAAAAUAAAUCUUGAACACCUCUGUAGAUAGGUAUUAAUUAUAAAAGGUAACAUUCCUUUAGUAAUGAAUUAAUAACUGUGCUAGUACUGGGCAGUAUUACAGUUUAUUGCUCUGUAACUCACCUGGGACAUGGAUGGAGCCUGGGAUGUGUCCUCUGUCCACUUCAUCUUUGGAGCGCACAUCCACAAGCAGAAGGUCUUUACUUUUCUCUUUGAGGGAUUUGAGAUCGCUGUAGGAGAUAACUUUAUCUAGAAAUAUAUUUAAAAAAAAGACAUGCAGAGUCUUGCUUAGCUGCGAAACAGUGGUUCUCAAAGUGGGGUCUCAAAGCAUAGCCAAAGGAGUCUGUGAUUUAUUUAUUAUUUUUUUUACAGUGGUAGAAAUCACAAACAAGGCUACGAUUAUCAAAACUAUUAUUAUAUUCCUUAUAGUUAUUAGCCUUAAUUCAAUGUUCUUAACCCAAAACCUCAAUAACUCAUGAACAAGCAUGUCUAUAAAGAAUGUAUAAAUGUAUAAAUAAUCGGACCUAAUGUGAUGUAAAUCCUCAUUUGUAAGUCGCUUUGGAUAAAAGCGUCUGCUAAAUGAAUAAAUGUAAAUGUAAUGUGUCCAAAAUAUUAUUGUACACAUUUGAACAAUGAGUCUAAUAUUUGAUUAGUUGGAUCAUGUUCAUAAAACAAAUCUGUGCUUAAGGAGUCACCAGAAUAUUUUUUCACUUUACAGUUUUUAUUUUUCACUUUACAGUUUUUUUGUUUGUUGUUUUCUUCCACUUUACAAACCCAAGCUCCUGCAUGGCCAGCCUGAAAAACAGGAAACGCAGGCUCUUUGAUGGGGACGAUUUGUAAAUACAGUAAUAUGCAGAAAUCUACAUUGUAUUAAGAACACAAUGGUUAUUCUGGAGUAUAUCUAACUUUAAAGUGAGCAGUGUGUCAUUCUGUAAAACAGUGAUUUCACCAUAUCUAUAAAACCCCAAUUGGCAAAAACUGCAAGUCAUUAUGCUCUGACGUCACUAAUCUUCAGGGAUCACUUAUAAUAUCAGGGAAAAACAACUGAUGGAAAAAAACAAUUACAGCAGUAUAAAUUCACCAAAGACUAUAAAGACAAGGAUAAAAAGUAACACGGGCCAUGAUAACUGCAACAUUUGUAGUCUAAAAAAUAUCACUAAUGUGUACUAAUUAUGAACCUGAGCAGAGUUAAGGAUACAGGCAGUGUUCCAAGGACACAGAAAGCUUUGAUCUUAUUCUUUAAUCCCAAAUCAGGUAUCACUGAUAAUGCAUAGCCGGUAAUGCAUAGCGCUAAUGCAAUAUUAGUCACGGUUUUACUUGACAUAAGCAUCGUGCUGUGUUGGUGAAAAUGAAAUGUAGUAGAAGUUGUAGAAUGAAUGUACUUACCUGUAUUUGCCAUGUUGACGGUUUAACCUGCUCGGUAAGCAAGAGUUACAGCACUGUACAACUACACUUCCUCGUUCUUGUAUUCAUAUGUAGAUGGGCGUGGCAUAAACGCGGGCCGUCCAAUGGCCGUCUGCUUAAUAUUAAUAUUCAAAAUAGACCCACCCCCUUACGCAACUUACAUAGAAACUGAAAGUCACAUACGACGGUUUAGGAGUCAAUAAUGAAACAAACAAACAAAAAAUACAAACAAACAAAAACAUGUAAAAUAAAAACAGGGCUUACAUAUUGUGUGUUUUUAUUUUAUUUUUAUUGUUAUAGUAGGCUAGGCGUAUAAUUCACUCCAUACAGGAUUUCGUGUUUGACGCACGUGAAUCGAAGAGGUCUUGUUGUGAUGACAUCACCUGGCGCGUCUUGGCCCAAGUCUGCGGUAAUUUUGAAUAAUUGCAAGCUCCUCUGAAAAUUGUGGAGCUUGCUUGAUUUUGCUUUAACUUCUGCGAUUGUAAAAUCCUGGAGGGACUGGUAUGGAUACUGUGUCUGUGAAAUGGAGCAAGAAAUUAUGUAUACUCAUGACCUGGUAUUGUACUCAUUUACACAGGCACCAAGUAAAAUUAACUCUUUUUUUUGUGGUUAGCAUGUUCGCCUCACACCGCUAGGGCUGGGGGUUCGAUUCCCGCCGCUGCCCUGUGUGGGCGGAGUUUGCAUGUUCUCCCAGUGCUGCGGGGGUUUCCUCCGGGUACUCCGGUUUCCUCCCCCAGACCAAAGACAUGCACGGUAGGCUGAUUGGCAUGUCCA